AGAAAACCGAUUCCCCCAGAGCAACAUAACAUCGCCAUCGCUAACUUCUGCUGGCAAAAGGACAACGACCAAAAAGGGAACGAACAAGUCCACUGAAAAGUCUAAAAAACAUUGUAACAAGAAAAGGGGAACCCUCGAGGCAGGUCAGCAACGAAAGAUGGUGGCGAAGAAAACGUGGACAACCCCAGAAAGAAAGGCAGCGUUGAAAACAUUCCAAAAACACAUUCAAAAUGGAGUGCUACCCAAAAAAAACGAGUGUGUUAAGUUUUUGGAGGAGAAUCACGGGAUAGUACAAAACAGAACAUGGACAAACGUGAAGGAUUAUGUGAGAAACUACACCGUGAAAAAGAAGUAAACAAGUUUGAAUCCUUUUAUAUUUUAUUCAGAGCAGAACGCAGCUUGUUGAACUUGCCUCUUUAUAUAUGAUAUUUUAGCCAGAAUGCAAUUUCAAAUUCUUCACCAGCAUUCUCGUUAAUGCCGCUCUGAUUCUGAUCGUGAAUUAUAGAAGUGAAGUUGCUACGUGAAUGUUAAAAAACUAAGAAACAUUGUCUUUGCUGGAAACAAAUGGCCAGCGAUAAAACUGAAUGACGUCAUCGUGUGAAUCAGUCGUAAAUCUGCAGACGUCAAACCAAUUCUAUUAUUUUAUGUUUUCAAUUAUAACCUCAACAUAACAAGAAUGUCUUAUAUUAAUUAUUAAACGGAUCU